rnacentral:rRNA from 1 species
AUUGAACGCUGGCGGCAGGCUUAACACAUGCAAGUCGAGCGAGCGGCGGACGGGUGAGUAAUGUCUGGGAAACUGCCUGAUGGAGGGGUAUAAAUACUGGAAACGGUAGCUACUACCGCAUACCCUCAGAUGUGCCCAGAUGGGAUUAGCUAGUAGGUGGGGUAAUGGCUAACCUAGGCGACGAUCCCUAGCUGGUCUGAGAGUAUGACCAGCCACACUGGAACUGAGCAACGGUCCAGACUCCUACGUGAGGCAGCAGUGGGGAAUAUGGAACAAUGGGCGCAAGCCUGAUGCAGCCAUGCCGCGUGUGUGAAGAAGGCCUUCGGGUUGUAAAGCACUUUCAGCGAGGAGGCGUUACUCGCAGAAGAAGCACCGGCUAACUCCGUGCCAGCAGCCGCGGUAAUAC